GAUGAACGCUGGCGGCGUGCCUAAUACAUGCAAGUCGAGCGAACAGAUGAGGAGCUUGCUCCUCUGACGUUAGCGGCGGACGGGUGAGUAACACGUGGAUAACCUACCUAUAAGACUGGGAUAACUUCGGGAAACCGGAGCUAAUACCGGAUAAUAUAUUGAACCGCAUGGUUCAAUAGUGAAAGACGGUUUUGCUGUCACUUAUAGAUGGAUCCGCGCCGCAUUAGCUAGUUGGUAAGGUAACGGCUUACCAAGGCAACGAUGCGUAGCCGACCUGAGAGGGUGAUCGGCCACACUGGAACUGAGACACGGGCCAGACUCCUACGGGAGGCAGCAGUAGGGAAUCUUCCGCAAUGGGCGAAAGCCUGACGGAGCAACGCCGCGUGAGUGAUGAAGGUCUUCGGAUCGUAAAGCUCUGUUAUUAGGGAAGAACAAAUGUGUAAGUAACUAUGCACGUCUUGACGGUACCUAAUCAGAAAGCCACGGCUAACUACGUG
rnacentral:rRNA from 1 species